AAAAUGUAAGAAUCAACAGCCUGUCCUACGAAUCAAGAUCAACAUGACCUGGAUAUAUUUCAGUUACCCGGCUUCACCUAACCUAACAACCGCAGCCUCUCAAUAAAACUUCCCCAUCAGUCAGGCACAAGAUCUGACCGUAAUUACACUUUGCAUAAACUGUCGUUGCUUUAGUCUAUUAUUUCAGUCGCAACCCUGGCAGUGGUAAGUGAUCGUGAGAGAAAAU